rnacentral:rRNA from 1 species
AUGGGGGCACACCGCCUCGCACUGCUCGUGUUCCUUGCCACCUUGCCACAGCUGCUGCUCGCCGGCACGACCAGAUACUACACCUUCAAUGUGACAAUGCAGAAGGUGACACGGCUAUGCACCACCCGCGCCAUCCCGACGGUGAACGGCAAGUUCCCCGGCCCGAAAAUCGUCACAAGGGAAGGCGACCGCAUUGUCGUCAAGGUGGUUAACAAUGUGAAGCACAACGUUACCAUCCACUGGCACGGGGUGAGGCAACUGCGGACAGGGUGGUCGGACGGGCCGGCAUACAUCACGCAGUGCCCGGUCCAGACGGGGCAGAGCUACGUGUACAACUUCACCAUCACCGGGCAGAGAGGCACACUGUUCUGGCACGCCCACGUCUCCUGGAUGCGCGCCACGCUCUACGGCCCCAUCGUCAUCCUCCCCAAGUCCGGCGUGCCGUUCCCCUUCCCAAAACCCUACAAGGACGUCCCCGUCGUCUUCGGCGAGUGGUUUAAUGCGGAUCCCGAGGCGAUCAUAGCUCAGGCGCUGCAGACUGGUGGAGGCCCAAACGUCUCCGAGGCCUACACCAUCAACGGGCUUCCAGGCCCACUCUACAACUGCUCGAGCAAAGACACGUUCAAGCUGAAGGUACAGCCAGGCAAGUGGUACCUGCUCCGGCUGAUUAACGCUGCGCUCAACGACGAGCUUUUCUUCUCGAUCGCCAACCACACGCUCACCGUCGUCGACGUCGACGCGGCCUACGUCAAGCCGUUCGACACGGACGUAGUCCUCGUCACGCCGGGGCAGACCACCAACGUGCUCCUCCUAGCCAAACCGGACGACGGCUCCCCGGCCGCCACACACCUCAUGCUGGCGCGCCCCUACGCCACAGGACGCGUUGGCACCUAUGACAACACCACCGUCGCGGCCAUCCUCGAGUACGCGCCGGCGGGACACAUCAAGAGCCGCCCGCUCUUAUGGCCAACGCUGCCGGUGUUCAACGACACGGCGUUCGCCGCCAACUACAGCGCCAAGCUCCGGAGCCUCGCCAGCCCGGACUACCCGGCCAGGGUGCCGAUGCGGGUAGACCGGCCCUUCUUCUUCACCGUGGGACUCGGCACGACCCCGUGCCCGACGUACCAAGGGUGCAACGGGCCUACCAACGACACCAAGUUCUCGGCGUCCAUGAACAACGUGUCCUUCAACAUGCCCACGACGGCGCUCCUGAAGGCGCACUACGACGGCAACACCGCCGGCGUGUACACGUCGGACUUCCCCACCACGCCGUCGGAGCCGUUCAACUACACCGGCACGCCGCCCAACAACACGAACGUAUCGAACGGGACGAAGGUGGUGGUGCUGCCGUAUAACACGAGCGUGGAGGUGGUGCUGCAAGACACGAGCAUCCAGGGCGCCGAGAGCCACCCGCUGCACCUGCACGGGUUCGACUUCUUUGUUGUGGGGCAAGGCGUCGGCAACUACGACCCGUCCAGCCAUCCUGCCGGGUUCAACCUGCUCGAUCCCGUGCAGAGGAACACCGUCGGCGUCCCGGCCGGAGGCUGGGUCGCCAUCAGGUUCUACGCUGAUAACCCUGGUGUAUGGUUCAUGCAUUGCCAUCUUGAGGUGCACACGAGCUGGGGCCUGAAGAUGGCAUGGGUGGUCAACGAUGGUCCGUUGCCUGACCAGAAGCUGAUGCCUCCGCCGUCCGAUCUACCCGUCUGUUAG